rnacentral:rRNA from 1 species
AUGGCUCAGGAUGAACGCUAGCGACAGGCCUAACACAUGCAAGGUCGAGGGCAGCGACGGAGUAGCAAUACUUGGCGGCGACCGGCGACACGGGUGAGUAACACGUAUGCAACCAACCCAGUAACAGGGGGGAUAACCCGGAGAAAUCCGGACUAAUACCGCAUAAGACCACGAUAUCGCAUGAUAGUAGAGGUCAAAUAUUUAUAGGUUAUGGACGGGCAUGCGUCUGAUUAGCUGGUGGCGGGUAACGCCACAAGGCAUCGAUCAGUAGGGGUUCUGAGAGGAAGGUCCCCCACAUUGGAACUGAGACACGGUCCAACCUCCUACGGGAGGCAGCAGUGAGGAAUAUUGGUCAAUGGGCGAAAGCCUGAACCAGCCAUGUCGCGUGAAGGAUAGAAGGUCCUAUGGAUUGUAAACUUCUUUUGCAGGAGGGUAAAGUGAGCUACGUGUAGUUCAUUGCAAGUACCCUGCGAAUAAGCAUCGGCUAACUCCGUGCCAGCAGCAGC